AGCACAAUUGCUGGAUCAUAUGGUAUGCCUAUGUUAAGCUCUUUAAGAAACUGCCAGGCUGCCUUCCAAAGCAGCUGUACCAUUUUGCAUUUCCAUCAGCAAU
rnacentral:pre_miRNA from 1 species